GGGGAAUAUUGCACAAUGGGCGCAAGCCUGAUGCAGCAACGCCGCGUGAGUGAUGAAGGCCUUCGGGUCGUAAAACUCUGUCCUAAGGGAAGAUAAUGACGGUACCUUAGGAGGAAGCCCCGGCUAACUACGUGCCAGCAGCCGCGGUAAUACGUAGGGGGCAAGCGUUAUCCGGAAUUACUGGGCGUAAAGGGUGCGUAGGUGGCCUGACAAGUCAGGGGUCAAAGGCAACGGCUCAACCGUUGUAAGCCCUUGAAACUGUCGGGCUUGAGUUCAGGAGAGGAAAGCGGAAUUCCUAGUGUAGCGGUGAAAUGCGUAGAUAUUAGGAGGAACACCAGUGGCGAAGGCGGCUUUCUGGACUGAUACUGACACUGAGGCACGAAAGCGUGGGGAGCAAAC
rnacentral:rRNA from 1 species